rnacentral:misc_RNA from 1 species
UCCUGGUUUCCCAGGCAGUCCCGCCAGAGUGCUUUACCUAAAAGGCAAUUGCAACUGGCAGCAGGGGUUGCGCUCGUUAAAGGACUUAACCCAACAUCUCACGACACGAGCUGACGACAGCCAUGCAGCACCUGUGCAAAUGUCUAAACCGAAGUUUAGAAAACUUCAUCUCUGAAGCGAUCAUAUGCAUGUCAAGCCCAGGUAAGGUUCCUCGCGUAGUGUCGAAUUAAACCACAUGUUCCACCGCUUGUGCGGACCCCCGUCAAUUCCUUUGAGUUUUAGUCUUGCGACCGUAAUCCCCAGGCGAAUCACUUAACGCGUUAGCUACGACACUAAUCCGGAAACCCGAACUAACAUCUAGUGAUUAUCGUUUACAGCGUGGACUAC